AUUGGCCACCAGAAGACCGUAGACCCGCGGGGGAGUGAGGGAGAGAAGAUAGAUACUUCUACCGCCUUUUGUUUUACGGCAGAUUGUCGUGAUACCGUACAGAAUGAGAACCAGUUCAAGCGCAAAAACAAUGUACCAGAUGAAGAAGAUGGGCCAGGGUGGAUUUAUCAUUAGUGGAAACAUCCGGGAUACAUCGCCGGUGGAUCUGUUGAAUAUUCCUGAAAAUGGAGAAUGCAUUAUUUUAUUUUUGGUGACAUUUUAAGUCUACUGAGUUCAUUUUAGAAAAUAAAUUUCAUUAGCUGAUGGUAAUUUACCAGAUUCUUGUAAUGGAAUUCACAACGUGCAUACGUGAUGGAUGAGUGUAAUUACAGCGGGAGUAGGGGAGUGUGUGCACUUCAUUAAAAUCGUUAUGUAAUAUUGAACAGAGAACCGCAAUUAACAUUCUCGGAUGUGUGCAAGCCUACAUCGAAAGAUUACACUGGGCAACUGAUAAUCGUCAUCACUGGAAACUAAUAAGUUCUGUUUGUCAAUCACAGCCAUUGUCGGUGGACUAACUUGGCAGGUCUUCCAUCAUUAAGGGCUAGAUUUACAUUGACAUAAAACUAUUUACAAGAAAUAAAAGUCAGAACAGAUGCUUGUCUGGAUCUAUCCAAAACAAACCCAACUUCUGUUUCAAGAUAAAAGAAAACUUGAUGUUAUUUUACAACGUUUGAAAGAAGUUGGUAACUCUGUGUGUUGCAGUAUUCCUUAGGAAUGAUGAAAAGAUUUAGGUAAAUGGGCGUGAAUUGGAUAGAAUUUUUCAAUAAAAAAUAUUUCUGU
rnacentral:sRNA from 1 species